rnacentral:tRNA from 1 species
GGGGAGAUACCGAAGCGGUCAAACGGGGCAGACUGUAAAUCUGUUGGCUUUCGCCUUCGGAGGUUCGAAUCCUCCUCUCCCCACCA